GGUGUCCCUGCCCAUGGCAGGGGGGUUGGAACUGGAUGAUCUUAAGGUCCUUUCCAAUACUAACUAUUCUACGAACAAGGGAUAUGUUAAGCAAUAAAGUAAUCAAACAGGGAGUAUGCCUGAUGUGAUGGCUUUGUCAGGUGUGUCAGAGGUGAAAGCAAGCUUAGGAAAAAGAAACAGGAGAUGGAAAACUGGAUGGUUGGAAGAGGAAAAAGAGUCAUUCACCAAUUACCUUUUGCUAGUUGUUUGAGGAAUCAUGGAAUCAGAAUGGUUUGGGUUGGAAGGGGCCUUAAAUCUCCUACAGUUCCAACCCCCUGCAAUGAGCAGGGACAUCUUCAACUAGAUAAGAUUGUGCAAAAGUAGGUGAAGAAGCUAUAAAAUCUGUAAAUGCUGAUAGUAAAUGAUAAUGGUUUCAGGUGUGGUAGUGCUGCAGUGUGGGAAUUCAGCUGUGAUACAUCUUUAUAGAUUUUCAAAAUCACAUAAAAAAGCAUCCUGACAUGGAGAUUUGUUGGGCUUUGGGAAGCGGAAUGUAAACAUGGGAAGUAGCCGAAGUCUUUGUUGUUUAAAAAAGUGCAUAAGGGGAAAUAAACCAAAAAAGUUACUUGUUUCCUUUUGCAUGGCUUCAAGACCUGUAAGCUGUUUUGUAUGUGUAUAACAAAAGCUGUCUUUUAUAGGAGAAAGCAUUGCUGUCAAGUGCCUUUCAAACAAGGAGUCUCAAAAUACAUUUCAUUGCAAUAAUUCCCAUAACAUUAUUUGGUGUUAAUUAUUUGCCAGUAUUCUAACUUGGGCAUGGAGCUCAGUUAAUUCCUUAUCAGUAGUUUUAAGCAGUCAUUUAAGCCAAUGCUAAAGGUAAGUUUUGGUGCACCUGCCUGCUUUCACUUUACUGGGGAAUCACCAGUGUUCAUACACAGUGAACUGUGUAAGGGACUUAAUCAGAAACUAACUCCUUUUUAAAUACACUCAUUUACCUUUAGGUUACAUUUAGUUCAGGUAAAUGCCAUGUGAUUUGCUGCACAGAUGCAUAGAUGUUCACACUCAAGAAAGAGAGCAGGAGCAUUUUAAAUUGCAGUAAUAGUUCAGAAGCAUGGCUCUGUAAUGUUAUGGGACUUUUAAAACCUGUUUCAGUAGCAAAAACUACUUCUUUAGCCUUAAAUAAUAUGAAAACUGAGAGUGUCUUCUGCCCAAGAUUGAAGGGCCUUUUCUCCUCCAAAUUCAUUGCCAAACAAAAGCACGUGUGUGCUAAAACCCCUUCUCUACAAAUGUGUUUAAGGUUCUUAUCUUCUAAAUGUGUAUAUAUCUGUAUAUGAACUUUACUAAUGAAAUUAAAGCAUCCUGAAGUCUGCUGGAUGAUGAUUCUUAUGAGGAGACAAUUUUCAAGUGAUUGCUAUAUAAAGGAAAGAAAAUGAGCUUAAUUCUUUUCAACAAUGUUACUAAAAGCCCAUUACCUAUAAAGAAAAUUAGUUUACUACUUAGUUGGAAAUCAUUAGCUUCUAUUGGACAGUACAGAAGUUGCCAAACCCCUUAUUUUUCCCUGCAGAAUAGCCUUUCAAGUGCACAUAUAGAAUCUGUAUGCUGGUGAUUUUGUGUCAUAAGUAAUACUCAAGACUAAAGUAUUGCUGACAGCGUAUUUCCAAGUGUGUCUUUGCCUGUUGACAUUGAAUGGGGAUUGCAUAUUGUGUUAGUAACGUUGUACAUAUAAUCUGUAUUCUCUGGAUAAAUUUAAGGAAUUUUGCCUGUUCACAUGGAUUUUUAAUUGCCUUUUCACCCCUCACUAUCUCUUAAGGUCAGCUGUCUCUUAAAUCCAGGAUCCCCUAUUACAUAAUAGCAGUUGCAAAAUGACUUCUUUAGUGUACAUCUGGAAUUGAGCUGCACGUCUCUCCCAGGGUGGAAGUCAGUGGGGCUUGAUUGUACUGUUAAAGUAUGAUUGUGUAGGCCUGCAGGUUUCCUGCUAUUAAAAAUGUAUUUGCAAGAGAA